UACGUAGGGUGCAAGCGUUGUCCGGAAUUAUUGGGCGUAAAGAGCGUGUAGGCGGCCUCGUAAGUCCGCUGUGAAAGCCCGGGGCUCAACCCCGGGAGGCGGGCGGAUACUGUCGGGCUAGAGUCCGGAAGAGGCGAGUGGAAUUCCCGGUGUAGCGGUGAAAUGCGCAGAUAUCGGGAGGAACACCAAUGGCGAAGGCAGCUCGCUGGGACGGUACUGACGCUGAGACGCGAAAGCGUGGGGAGCAAACAGG
rnacentral:rRNA from 1 species